CUUCCACAUCAUAAUUGACAUCCACAAAUCCCUCCCCAAUCAACACCAGAACCUCAACCACUGCACCCUCAUCUCCAUUUUUCUUAACAUCAUCUCCAAUUUUCUUUCUUUGACCUAAAUUUGAUCAAUUCCUCAUUCUUCCAGUUCUUUACAUGCUUUCUUAUACAUUUUCUCUGUCUCUUUCUUGCUAUAGUGGUGGUGGCGGCGAUGGUGCUUUUGACGGUUGGAAGGCUCCUCCGAGUCUUUAAGAGAAAUCGAGCAAUGGCGAUUGCACUGCGUAGAUUCAUCUCUGCCUCUCUUUCCCUCAACCGUGGUUACCACAACUUCGCUGUCAUAUACUACCUCCAACUUCACUGCCGCCAAUGCUACUGAGUAUUUCUAGAGCGAGGAUGAGGAUGUUGUGCUCUAACUCAGGUAAAGCCCACCAAUUUCAGGAUUGAGAUAAUGGUUUCAAAGAAAUGUGGGAAAUGGGCUGAAUCUUGGGAGUUUAGGUUGAA
rnacentral:lncRNA from 1 species